CUCCCCGAAGCCUCCCAUUGUCCCUUAGGACCACCAAAAGAGAGAACGGGUUAGAGAGAACGCCUCAAUCGGGAUCCACAAGCAAACAUCUCCGAAAAACACUUUAUAGACAAUGCAAAUUACAAACAGACUUUACAAGCUCUGAACAGGGGCACAACAAAGGGUAAAAUGGUCCAUUAUAGAUUGAAAAGCUCUCGCACGUGUCCACAUGACACAACCUUUAUUUACAAGCCUAAAGAGGCCACCAACCCAACUAAAGUGGGACUAUUAAGCCUUCGGCCGCCCCUUUACAUGCUGUACAAGGCAUGAACAUGCCAACCGACACGGACAGAUAUAAGCAUUACAUCAAACACCUUGUUUAGAAGUUUGUCCGUGACAUUCUCCCCCACUUAUCCCUUCGACGUCCUCGUCGAAGCCUUAGUGAACACUGCAACUCUUCGCCUUUGCUGAGUCUUCAAUCUUCCGCUCCAGCUGCAAUGCGCCUCCUGGCUCCCAACUGCUCUCCGCUGCUGUUUUUGAGUAGUCGAACCUUUGAUCCGCCAUGCUGCUUCAACUCACCAAUGACUCUGACUCUGGUGUGGGGUUGGCUGAGUUGUGUUGAUCCUCGUUGAUUCCUGCGGAUCCACCAAAUGAAGGAAAAGACCAUCCUUACUGCGCCAGUCUCUCAAAAUUUCUACAUGCUGCUUGAACUGGGUGGAUGCUUGUUGGAGCUUUAACGAGCAUCGCCUCGCAUCCAUAAAAUCUACUCAUUGACUCUUCUUUCAGUUAGUUGUCACAUCCAAGUAGGUUCGCAUCACUUUCGCUUUCGAUUGGCAUUUCGUUGGGAAAUGAAGCGGACAAUCUACUCUCAGUAGCACUGAUCACCGUUGGUAAGGAUUUGACAACUAUUGUCUUCCAUUAUCUUCGAAGGGUCUUUGAACUUGUGCAGAGCUCCUCUACUGGAUAGAUAAGAGAAUUGGGGUACUAGGUUUCGCCCAUUCUCUUAAGAGUUGAGAAGGCAAAGGUUACUUGACUUCGCCCGCCUCCUCGAGGUUGUACUUCAUGCAUCGAGCUGGUUACUGGCCUUCGCCUGCUCUUUGCUCACACUUCUGAAGCACUUGAAGUGUUUGCACUCCUUGCGUUGAGUUAGCUACUGUGAUUCACCUUCUCAAUGCCAUCGAACUUCUGGAAUGCGGGAAGUUUUCACCCCAACUUGGAGUAAUUCUCUGAUAGAUGAAGUCGCCUCUGGGAUUGUACCGUCUUCUCCAUCAACCCUGCCGCCUACUCCACUGAGUAGCAAAGGUACAGCACCGCGUACUGCUUGCUUCGUUCCUUGGUCGUGCACUCUUGCAUGACCCGAAGUCCUUCACUUACGGCUAUCUUGAUGAGAAACUUGUUGACACCGGUCUUACGAAGUUUCUUGGCCUCUGCCCUUCAGCCUUGUCUCGGUACUUGGAGAUUGCCUCUGCAUACUCCACCUCCUCGGCCCCUUUCACGACCAAACGCUCUCCCUCCAUGAGAGCAAGGGAUCAAUGACUUUCACGGAAGUCCCGCCUCUGCGGUACCAUGGCGCUGUCAUGCCCAUGGCCCUACUAUCCGUCGCCUCGCAUCUGCAUCCCUUUUCUUCACAAUCAAUAGGUAUGUCUCCGUGACACUCUUCCGAGUUCACCUCUAUUCUAACUGAUUGCUUGACUUUGGGUAGCUAAGUCCCUCUGGACUCGUCGUUGCUUCCUCGCCCCUUUCGACUCCCUACUUCAACACCUCUGUGUUCUCCAAGCAGUCUGUUUGGUCGAUGGAAAGACAGACUGCUACUCCCAUGCAUGGCCUCUGCCAUCACGUUGUAGGGUUUGCACCGAUUCUGUUCUCCUUAGCUUCCUUGGUAGCAACGUUCGCUUACUCGACCUUGUCCUCUGACUUGCCGGGCUCCCUUAAGCGAAUAUGAGCUCUGGAGCAGUCCAACUCUCCAGCUGCUUCGAUCAUACCUCUGCAUGAUCAAGUCCCUCCCAUGGAACUCACUGGUACUUGCAUUCGAACUUUUCCCUUGGUGGAACCCAGCCCCCAUAUGCUGAUGACCAAGGUUUUCAUCCGAUGCCAAAAUUCGGUGCACGCCCGGAAGACCCGCCUCUACGGUACCAUGGCCUUCACUCCUUGAAUCCAUAGCCCUUCUUGCCGUCGUGUUGUUCACCAAAGCGGAGCUCCCAGUAGCUCCCGAUCAUACCUCCAUAUGAUCUCAUCCCUCACGGGACUCAGUCGUGUGUAUCGCAUUGCCACGAACUGUUCCACCACGAUCCGCUGCACCAUGUUGCCUCCUAGUGACAUCUCCAUUGCAUUCUGAUCCUUGUGGAAUAAACUCGAAUUGUGAACCCUCCAUGUGUGGCCUCUGCCAAAACAUCGCAGGGUCUCCUCCACCUUCGAUUUUGUUCGCUCCUUUGGCAAUCGACCUUCAUCCACCCACUCUUGGGUCACACCUAGAUGAAGCACCGCUCUAGGACAGUCCGUCGCCUAGUAGCUCCCGAAGUCCACCGACUUCACUGUAAUUUGUGCACCAUUGUCUGGAUCCAGGGCCUCUGCCCCUACCAGCACAAUCUCCGCUGCCUCUGCCUCUCCAUGUGUGGCCUUUGCCUCUUGCGCGAAGGGUUGGCCAUUCCUCUGAAUGCCAAUCUCAGAUGCCCACUCCUCUGAGCGACUCUUUUCCCUACAUCUCCAUGCCUGUUUUCCCUCAAACGGUCGCACGUGUGCUGACUGCCCUCAACACAGUCUCGCUAGGUCCCCCACGUUUGCAUGCUAAGUGUUUCUAUGAGUGCUUGUCCCGCUCUAAUACCAUAUGACACGGACUUAGCUGGUUUUGCCUAAGUCAUGCGGCACCCUUGCGUGUCCAUCCGCAAAGGUCAGCCUCCCCGAAGCCUCCCAUUGUCCCUUAGGACCAUCAAAAGAGAGAACGGGUUAGAGAGAACGCCUCAAUCGGGAUCCACAAGCAAACAUCUCCGAAAAACACUUUAUAGACAAUGCAAAUUACAAACAGACUUUACAAGCUCUGAACAGUGGCACAACAAAGGGUAAAAUGAUCCAUUACAGACCGAAAAGCUCUCGCACGUGUCCACAUGACACAACCUUUAUUUACAAGCCUAAAGAGGCCACCAACCCAACUAAAGUGGGACUAUUAAGCCUUCGGCCGCCCCUUUACAUACUGUACAAGGCAUGAACAUGCCAACCGACACGGACAGAUAUAAGCAUUACAUCAAACACCUUGUUUAGAAGUUUGUCCGUGACA
rnacentral:lncRNA from 1 species